CGACGAGUUUGAUCCUGGCCUCAGGACGAACGCUGGCGGCGUGCCUAACACAUGCAAGUCGAACGGACGAGGGGGAGCUUGCUCCCUGAGUUAGUGGCGAACGGGUGAGUAACGCGUGAGAAACCUGCCUUUCAGUGGGGGACAACAGUUGGAAACGACUGCUAAUACCGCAUAAUGUCAUUUGGGGGCAUCCCCGAAUGACCAAAGAUUUAUUGCUGAAAGAUGGGCUCGCGUCUGAUUAGCUAGUUGGUGGGGUAACGGCCUACCAAGGCGACGAUCAGUAGCCGGACUGAGAGGUUGAACGGCCACAUUGGGACUGAGAUACGGCCCAGACUCCUACGGGAGGCAGCAGUCGGGAAUAUUGCGCAAUGGAGGAAACUCUGACGCAGUGACGCCGCGUAUAGGAAGAAGGUUUUCGGAUUGUAAACUAUUGUCGAUAGGGAAGAAAAAAGACUGUACCUAUCAAGAAAGCUCCGGCUAACUACGUG
rnacentral:rRNA from 1 species